rnacentral:rRNA from 1 species
UGGGGAAUAUUGGACAAUGGGCGAAAGCCUGAUCCAGCCAUGCCGCGUGUGUGAAGAAGGUCUUCGGAUUGUAAAGCACUUUAAGUUGGGAGGAAGGGCAGUAAAUUAAUACUUUGCUGUUUUGACGUUACCGACAGAAUAAGCACCGGCUAACUCUGUGCCAGCAGCCGCGGUAAUACAGAGGGUGCAAGCGUUAAUCGGAAUUACUGGGCGUAAAGCGCGCGUAGGUGGUUGGUUAAGUUGGAUGUGAAAUCCCCGGGCUCAACCUGGGAACUGCAUUCAAAACUGACGAGCUAGAGUAUGGUAGAGGGUGGUGGAAUUUCCUGUGUAGCGGUGAAAUGCGUAGAUAUAGGAAGGAACACCAGUGGCGAAGGCGACCACCUGGACUGAUACUGACACUGAGGUGCGAAAGCGUGGGGAGCAAACA